rnacentral:rRNA from 1 species
CAGUAGCCACGGUAAUACGAAGGGGGCUAGCGUUGUUCGGAAUUACUGGGCGUAAAGCGCACGCAGGCGGCUCGAUAAAUUAGAAGUGAAAGCCUUGGGCUUAACCUGAGAAUUGCUUUUAAGACUGUCGAGCUAGAAUCCAGAAGAGGGUAGUGGAAUUCCGAGUGUAGAGGUGAAAUUCGUAGAUAUUCGGAAGAACACCAGUGGCGAAGGCGACUACCUGGUCUGGCAUUGACGCUCAUGUGCGAAAGCGUGGGGAGCAAACAGGAUUAGAUACCCGCGUAGUCCCUGUCUCUUAUCC